rfam:Planctomycetes bacterium GWF2_42_9 gwf2_scaffold_4540, whole genome shotgun sequence.
GGCGGCGUACCCAAGUGGCCUAAGGGGACGGUUUGCAAAACCGUUAUUUCGUGAGUUCGAAUCUCACCGCCGCCU